GAGCAUUUUAUCAUUUGUGUAAUAUAUACCAGGUACAACAAGAGCUGGGUUGAAGGCAAGCAUCUCAUUCUCAGCAAAGAAAUUAUCUAUGUUCUUGUUUAAUACCAACCGGCCCACUGGCUGCAAGGGCAAGAUAUCCUCAGGCCAAGUCUUGGUAACAUCAAGUGGAUCAAAGUCAAACUUGUCUUCAUGUUCAGGAUCCAUCGUCUGGAUGAAAAGCUUCCACUCAGGAUAGUUUCCAGCCUUGAUCGAGUCAUAGAGAUCCUGAGUAGCAUGACUGUGGUUAGUUCCUCCAACUCUUAUGGCUUCAUCCUCCAACAAACACUUGACUCCACACGUGGGUUUCCAGUGGAACUUCACAUAAUUUGCCUUCCCAGCCUUGUUGAUUAGAGUGAAGGUGUGAACACCAAAGCCUUCCAUGUGCCUAUAGUCCUGUGGGACACCCACAUCAUCGAAGAGGAAGGCAAAUGUGCUCAAGCUUUCUGGAUGGUAGGACAAGAAGUCAACAACUCUCCAAUACUCCUGGAUAUGGGACUUCGGAUUGGGUUUGAAAGCAUGGAUCACAUCAGGGAACUUCAUUGCAUCACGAAUAAAGAAGACUGGGAAAUUGUU
rnacentral:lncRNA from 1 species